UCGUCACUGAUGGAUGCAAACACAGAGUUCUCUGUCAGGGCAGACACAUCUCUGGUUAUAAAAACGUAUGUCUUUAAAAGGAGAAUGAAACCCAGAAUAUAUGUCCUUAAAGUACUGUCACACACCAAUUUUCUCAAGGUUUGAAGGCGCUCCUUUCUCUUCAGAGGCUAUGAAGUAGUGCUGUCCCUCGUGACAGUCCUGCAGUGAAAGGAACUCCCUUUGCAGGAGAACUAUCAGCUCUUGAGACAGAAGAAUUUAUGGCUACAAUGGAUGAAAACAAAUCAAGCACGAUGCAAAGAAAUGGAUUUGAAGAUCAGCUGGAAAGAUGUUGUUAGUGAGCCAUGAAUGGGCAGAGGAGUAAUGUAAGUGCCAUAAGCAGAUGAGUGCAGGUCUGAGGGCCUGUGGAGAAAUGAAAGGGGAGAUGUAGGCAAGAUGAGGUUAUAUAGGGUUUAAUUUAAAGAUAUUCAUCAGGAAUUCGUCAAGAUACAUAGCAAGGUGAAGGUUAUCCUCAUUUUAGGUUUUGCUGGAGAAAGCUGGGAGAAGCUAAGAGAACAGAGAAAGUUAAGGUGGCUAAGACUGGAAGCUGAUGCAUUCACCUAGUUAUCAUGUGGUCAGUGAGUUUAUCAGUUACUUGACUCCCUGGGCAAACAGGCUGUAGGUACUUCAGAACAGCAAAAUAACACACAGCCUUUUUAUGGCUCUAUUCAGCCAAAGCUAGAGAUUGACAGGAACUUUCAACCAGACAGCAGAUUUACAUAGAGAAUAAAAAGAGUAAAGAAAAAUGAGCCCUGUAAGACCCCUAGAUCCCAGGCAAAAGGCCCUGGAAAGAAACUAAAAUAAAAUGUUUUGUAUAAACAAGUCUGGCCCUAAAUCCUCUGUGAUUAAAAGGAUUUUUAAUAAACAUACACAAAAAUAAAUGUAUUCCAGAUUUCUAUCCAUUCUUUCAGAAACAAAGUGUAUAUUCUCAUAAAAGUAUUAUUGAAACAAUUGAGGUUUUUUUUAAAAAGCUAUAGUAGGAUCACAUAUGGGAAAAAAAAAAAAAUGCUGUGUUCAUGGAAUCCUGUAUAUAAACAAUGUAGGUGGAGAGUUGCUAAUGACUACAGCAUCAAGGUCAUCAACAAAAGUGGCCAGAACUAAUGAGAGCAGGGCAGCUUCCCUGCCUGUGGCUUCUUAGCAAAUCCAUGCUUCUCGCUUGGGGUGAAUCCUGUAAUACCAUCAUGUUUGUGAUGUUGCAAAAAAUAGAUCACGGUGCUAAGGGCCUACUUAAAAUUAAUAUUUUUCUGCUUCUAGCAAAUUUAAAUAGCUUGGCAUGUUCAGUCUUUCCAUUUCAUUUCAAUUUCUAUUUGAAAAGCACCAAAAUCAGUGAAAAAUCAAGUAGCAAUAAUCUUCAGAUUAUCUUAGUAUUUUUCUUACUUGAACUUGACUGUUAUUUCUCUCA